rnacentral:rRNA from 1 species
UACAGGGGGGGCAAGCGUUGUUCGGAAUUACUGGGCGUAAAGGGCUCGUAGGCGGUUUGUUGCGUCGGCUGUGAAAUCCCGAGGCUCAACCUCGGGUCUGCAGUCGAUACGAGCAAACUAGAGUGUUGCAGGGGAGACUGGAAUUCCUGGUGUAGCGGUGAAAUGCGCAGAUAUCAGGGAGGAACACCCGGUGGCGAAGGCGGGUCUCUGGGCAACAACUGACGCUGGAGGAGCGAAAGCGUGGGGAGCGAAC